rnacentral:rRNA from 1 species
UACGGGGGGGGCAAGCGUUGUUCGGAAUUACUGGGCGUAAAGGGCGCGUAGGCGGUUUGCUAAGUUGGAUGUGAAAACUCUGGGCUUAACCCAGAGCCUGCAUCCAAAACUAGCAGGCUAGAGUUCUGGAGGGGAUAGCGGAAUUCCUGGUGUAGCGGUGAAAUGCGUAGAUAUCAGGAGGAACACCCGUGGUGCAGACGGCUUGCUGGACCUCCACUGACGCUGAGGCACGAAAGCGUGGGAGCAAACAGG